CCUUUGUCCCGUGUGCUCUGGAGAUUGCAUCCCACGCAGGCAGCCCCCUUCCGUACAAGAGAGGCUGGCGGUUACCUUUCUUGGGGAGACGCGUCCGACUGCUUCAUUGUGGGGGCCUCAGGAGCGGAGGAUCGGGUCCCGCCCGAGGUGACGCGUAAACCCAGACUCUCAGCAACGCGGGUAGGAAGGACCCUUGAAGUUCCGCGGCGACCACGUCGGCUGAAACCAGCAGCCCAGGACAAGUGGACCAGCCAGCAAGACCCAGACCAUCCAAACCGGCUGAUCCUACGACAGGACCCAGAUGCCAGUGAAAGUGACCACAGCCCUGCUCUAGUCACCCCGGAAGCUGACCAGUCUACGCACGGCCGAAGCUUCGUCAAGGAAGCCUCCACCCCUCGAAUUCCCAGUUCACCGACACCAGCCUGGGGAUCACCUCCUU
rnacentral:lncRNA from 1 species